GUGCUGGAGAGCAUAGGGAAGCAUUGAGCCUUGCAGGGUAAGCUGUGUUUGUAAGCUACAUUCAGAGUAUGACAGUUCUACUGAUUUCAGAGGGAAAUAGAUAGGAGUGGAUUUGUGCUUUAGAAUGAUCACUCUACUCUAAGACUAGGAAAUGAGUUGUGAGUACCAGAAACAUGCUGAGAUGAGAAUGGAUAGAGUCUUCAACGGAAAUAUGGAAAAUACCAGACAGGGUGAUUAAUAGGUAGGAUAGGUGAGAGUAGUCCAGGAACAAUCUACAGGUUCCUUACUUGGGUAAUUGGACAGAAGAAGGUACCAUUCAUUGAAAUAUGGAACAUGGGAGUAAGAGCUGGUUGGCGGUGGGGGAAAGGAAAAUGAGUUUAGUUUUCUAUAAAAGUAGAUGUGUUAAUUAGGUGUGUGUGUGUGUGUGUGUGUGUGUGUGUCUGCGUGUUCUCAGGAAGAAGUGCAUAUCAGGAUUGUAGAAGAGAUUGAGGAAACAAAAAUAAAGAGAUCUUACUUGAAAUCAUGAGAGUGAAGAGAGAGCCUAGAAAAAAUUUAUUAAUAUAAUCUUAGGAGAAAGGAGAACUUAAAAUGGAACUAUAAGGAUAGUCAGCAUUUAAGGGACAAGCAAAGAAAAAGAGGUAGAUGAAGGAUUUAUUAGUAUUUGUUUGCAAAACAGAGGGGUAAGAAGAAUAAAUAUAUGAAACAGGGCUGAAGCACAGUGCAACAAAAUGUUAGAUUAUGUGGAGUGCUCAGAGGAAAGGCAGAAUUGUGGAUUCCUGUCCCCCUGCCCCCCAGAAUCCAGAAUGUCUACACAAAAUAAUGUUGGCAUUCCCCAUGAAUGAAACUUUUUGUUGCCUUUGGAUUGCCUGUGUUUUCAAUUCUACACUGGCUCAGCAAGGGACAGAAAGCUUUCAGUGUGACAAUGGAGUCUCCUUGCCUCCUGACAGCAUUUGUGACUUCACAGAUCAGUGUGGGGAUAGCAGUGAUGAACGGCACUUUUGGAAUCUGACAACUGGAACAAAAAGAAACUUGAAUCCGGUGCAUGCCUUGGUUUUGGUGCUGCUGCUGCUUCUCAAGAUCCUCGGCAGGAAUUAAGAAAGAAGCUGGUGUGGACAGCAGAUCCCCGAAAUUGGCGGGCUUGACCUCCUGGCAAAUUGCUUCGUCUUUCCACUUUCUGUUCAGGACCACUAAAUGAUGAAAUGUGGGUGUAUACAGAAUUAAAAGCAGUUCAUUGUGUACCAAAGUUUUUUUUGUUUUUUUAGUAUUUGUGUAAAACCACUUUUUGAAGCAGCAACUAUCAAGUCUGAAAAGCAAUUGAUGUUUCCAUUAAUCUUUUUCUUGGGGAAAACCUUAGUUCUAAGGAUUUGACAUCCUGUAAGUGAAGUUUAACAUAACAGUAUUCCACACGCAGUCUUUUUAUUGUCAGACCAUUGCCUGACUUCAAUAUAAUAAAAAAAAACCUGUGCAUUAAAAAAAAGAAAAUAAGUUCUUAUUUUACAUGAACUUCUUUUUUAGAAUAUGUAAACCUUUUAUUUUUACUCAGUAUUGUUUUAAGAAAUCAGAAAAAAAACUGAGUCCUCAAGAUUAAAUAAAUUCCAUUUUCACAUGAUAUUAAGCACUUAACCUAUAGUGAACUAAAAAAGUAAUUUGUAGGUCUAAUAACUGUUUGGG
rnacentral:lncRNA from 1 species